AACGAACGCUGGCGGCAGGCUUAACACAUGCAAGUCGAGCGCAUCCUUCGGGGUGAGCGGCAGACGGGUGAGUAACGCGUGGGAACGUACCCUUUGCUACGGAAUAGCUCCGGGAAACUGGAAUUAAUACCGUAUGUGCCCUUCGGGGGAAAGAUUUAUCGGCAAAGGAUCGGCCCGCGUUGGAUAGCUAGUUGGUGGGGUAAAGGCCUACCAAGGCGACGAUCCAUAGCUGGUCUGAGAGGAUGAUCAGCCACAUUGGGACUGAGACACGGCCCAAACUCCUACGGGAGGCAGCAGUGGGGAAUAUUGGACAAUGGGCGCAAGCCUGAUCCAGCCAUGCCGCGUGAGUGAUGAAGGCCUUAGGGUUGUAAAGCUCUUUCAACGGUGAAGAUAAUGACGGUAACCGUAGAAGAAGCCCCGGCUAACUUCGCGCCAGCCGCCGCCGUAA
rnacentral:rRNA from 1 species